rfam:Daphnia pulex DAPPTscaffold_32_Cont1845, whole genome shotgun sequence.
CAAAGCAAGGGAAAGGUUGUAGCUCUUAUGUCUCAUUUUGAUUAGCAUAAGCGUAUGGCUUUUCCCCUGCAGUG